rnacentral:lncRNA from 1 species
AGAUUAUUUGAGGUUAGAUGUUCCCCAAUUUGAGACUGGUGAUGACCCUUUGGAGUAUCUUAGAAUGGUCAAAAUGAUAACUGAUGAGUUGGGCGUCAGUGAGAGUAGAGCCAUCCAGAUGGCAGGGGUCACAGUGAAAUGUGAAAAGACAAGGGCAUGGUUCAACCAGUAUGUGAACCUGAGGGUAGAAAGCUUAUCCUGGGAACAAUUUGCUAUAGAGUUUGUAGGAUGGGCUUGUCCAGAUAGCUCAAGGGAGCAUAAAGAGAGUGAUUGUGAGCAGCCAGGGCAGACAG